UACGUAGGGUGCGAGCGUUGUCCGGAAUUAUUGGGCGUAAAGGGCUCGUAGGCGGCUUGUCGCGUCGUCCGUGAAAACCUGCAGCUCAACUGCAGGCUUGCGGUCGAUAACGGGCAGGCUAGAGUUCGGUAGGGGAGACUGGGAAUUCCUGGUGUAGCGGUGAAAGUGCGCAGAGUAUACAGGAGGAACACCGGUGGCGAAGGCGGGUCUCUGGGCCGGAUACUGGCGCUGAGGAGCGAAAGCGUGGGGAGCGAACAGG
rnacentral:rRNA from 1 species